CUUGUCCAUUCCCAGACCCAGCCUUUCCUGGAUUUCUAAGUUGGGCCCAACCUGACCGCAGACCCCGUCCAGUUUUAAAGUCAGACCCUGUGGGUCCCUGGAUGCAGUCCAGGGCUCAGGUCNCGGACCAAAUCUGGUUUCUAAGUUGGGCCCAGCCUGACCGCAGACCCCGCCCAGUUUUAAAGUCAGACCCUGUGGGUCCCUGGAUGCAGUCCAGGGCUCAGGUCUGGUUCCAGAGUUUGGACCCAGGCUAACCCUGGACCCAGUGUGGUUCUGAAGGUGCCCAGCCUGAUUUUAGUUCAGCAGGGUUUCUAAGUCGGACCCACUCCAACUCCAGACCCAGCCCAACUUUGGCUAGCUUCCAGAACCAGUCGAGGACGAAGCCCAAAUAAAAUCCGAAAAGUCAUAAUGCAAAAGCUUUGGAGCUAGGACCCAAAACCCAGGAGCAGCUUUUCCACCAUUUUCAGAGGCAGCAGGAAAGCAGCAGUUCAUGUGUUACGAAAAUUUGCUUCAUUAAACAAGAUCAAACAAAUGAGCCAACAAGAAGUAAGCCUAUUUCUAACAAGCAGGCCUGAAGAGUAAAUAAAGCAAUGAGAAAUGAGUUGGUGAUUUUAAGUAAAAACCUUGGGGAGGAUGGAAUGGAAAUGAUUCAGGCCUCUACUUUGGAUAUGUCUGGAGACAAAAGAAUGCAUAAGCACACCGAGUCCUGGUCUCAGGAUGAGCAGUUUGGGUGGGCCAUGGUAGUGUUGGUCUGCCGGUCUGCGUGGUCCACAGAAGCCUGGAUUAAAUGAAUACAUGGCGGGGAGGACUUCUUGGCAAGGAGAUUCUCGGACAUACCCGUGAUGGGCUGCCAGUAUGUUAACAACAACAAGCCCCCAAGACAACGAACAGGUAAACCAAUUUGUUUUUUGUUUGUUUGUUUGUUUUUAAAGAUUUUAUUUUUUUAAUUUUUAUUUAUUUAUGAUAGUCACAGAGAGAGAGAGAGAGAGGCAGAGACACAGGCAGAGGGAGAAGCAGGCC
rnacentral:lncRNA from 1 species